rnacentral:rRNA from 1 species
UACAGAGGUCCCAAGCGUUGUUCGGAUUCACUGGGCGUAAAGGGUGCGUAGGCGGUCGGGUAAGUCUGACGUGAAAUCUUCAAGCUCAACUUGGAAACUGCGUCCGAUACUAUUCGGCUAGAGGAAUGGAGGGGAGACUGGAAUACUUGGUGUAGCAGUGAAAUGCGUAGAUAUCAAGUGGAACACCAGUGGCGAAGGCGACUUCCUGGCCUGUUCUUGACGCUGAGGCGCGAAAGCUAGGGGAGCAAACGGG